rnacentral:tRNA from 1 species
GCUCUCAAGGUGCAAUCAGACUGCACGCCGGUUUGCGAAGCCGGAGGUUCGUGGUGCAAAUCCACGUGGGAGCGCCA